rnacentral:rRNA from 1 species
AACGAACGCUGGCGGCAUGCCUAACACAUGCAAGUCGAACGAGACCUUCGGGUCUAGUGGCGCACGGGUGCGUAACGCGUGGGAAUCUGCCCUUGGGUACGGAAUAACAGUUAGAAAUGACUGCUAAUACCGUAUAAUGACUUCGGUCCAAAGAUUUAUCGCCCAGGGAUGAGCCCGCGUAGGAUUAGCUUGUUGGUGAGGUAAAGGCUCACCAAGGCGACGAUCCUUAGCUGGUCUGAGAGGAUGAUCAGCCACACUGGGACUGAGACACGGCCCAGACUCCUACGGGAGGCAGCAGUGGGGAA